GGCUUUGUAAUAUCUUCAGAAGUGAGAAGCAGAGGCUCCAAACAGGCCAAGAGAGGGCUCACUCUCUGCAUGGGACUUCACACAGCUUUCCAGGUCGCUGUGGGGUGGGGUUGGGGUGACUGUUUGUCCUCACGGUCCUCAUGGUCUAGAGGAAUGGAGGGGAGGCUGCUGGGGGAUCCGAGAGGCCAGUACUGAGGUAGGCUGUGGGCAAGCUGAGACGCCCCCAGCGCUGGAAGAGGCCGAGGGUCUCCUCUGCCCUGGGAUGAGAUUCUCCUGCCCAGAGUCCGAGCUAAAACCCUGCUAGGGUGGCACCUAGGUUGCUUGAAGGGCAGCCACAGAGCGCUUUGUCAGCCUGCAGAGACCUCAGCAGCGUGGAGGGAAGAGGAUUUUCAUUUUCCUGUUUCUUGGAUGCCUUCUCAGAUGCCCUGGAUGAGAUCCAUCCUCAUUUCCCCUGGCUCUUCCCACCUCAUUGGGACACACAAGAUAGAACAGCAGCACGGAGCAAGGCCCAUCAGAGGAUUAAAAGAAAUGACUGGUUGCAAAUGGUGACGCAAGACAUGGUGGCUCUGAUUUUAAAAGUGGCAGAGUCUUUUCUCUCUUCACUCCUUAGACGCCGUGUGGCUUCACCUUUCUCCCAGGUGCAGUGAAAUUCCUUGCCCUUUCCUGCCCCUGGCACUUGACGUGCACAGUCUUGCAGC
rnacentral:lncRNA from 1 species